UUGGAGAAUUUGGUUCUAUGUGCAGUGGCUGGGGGAUGGGAGGCAUUCCUGGGUGGGCCUCUCUUAUUUGGUGCCCUUUGAGAGGGCACCAAACCCCCAGCAAACUCCAUAUGAUAUGUUGAAAAACUACAUCCAAACUUGCUGAGAGACAAGAGCAGCUAGAGCUUGAACAACAACAACAACUGCAGCAGCAGCAUCAAGAACUGCAGGAGCAAGAGCUGCAGCAGCAGCAACAACUGCUUCAGCAGCAGCAACAACUGCUUCAGCAACAACAACGAAUGCUGCAGCAACAACAACAACAACAAGAUGAAGAGGAGUUCAAUAUGCAAGCUGAGAUGUUUCUGGGUGAUAUCAUGUGGGGAAGGUGCGGCAAACAGCCAUAUUGGCCAUGCCUUGUAGUAAGGGAUGAAGAAGGGAGGUUUUAU